rnacentral:snoRNA from 14 species
UAGCAUUUGAUGGGAACACUGACAUUUUAUCUGCAACAUGUGUAUCAAAUAUUUGUUUUAACUGCUC